GCGUAGAUGGCGGAGUGGUCAAUCGCAGUGGACUGUAAAUCCAUCGGCUUCGGCCUACGGGGGUUCGAAUCCCUCUCUACGCACCA
rnacentral:tRNA from 1 species